rnacentral:rRNA from 1 species
UACGGAGGGCGCAAGCGUUGUUCGGAAUUACUGGGCGUAAAGGGUGCGUAGGCGGCCAUGUAAGUCGGAUGUGAAAUCCCUCGGCUUAACCGAGGAACUGCGUCCGAUACUGAAAGGCUUGAAUCCGGGAGAGGGAUGUGGAAUUCCAGGUGUAGCGGUGAAAUGCGUAGAUAUCUGGAGGAACACCGGUGGCGAAGGCGGCAUCCUGGACCGGUAUUGACGCUGAGGCGCGAAAGCUAGGGGAGCAAACGGG